rnacentral:rRNA from 1 species
UAAUGAGGCGAACCGGGGGAACUGAAACAUCUAAGUACCCCGAGGAAAAGAAAUCAACCGAGAUUCCCCCAGUAGCGGCGAGCGAACGGGGAGGAGCCCAGAGCCUGAAUCAGUGUGUGUGUUAGUGGAAGCGUCUGGAAAGGCGUGCGAUACAGGGUGACAGCCCCGUACACAAAAAUGCACAUAUUGUGAGCUCGAUGAGUAGGGCGGGACACGUGGUAUCCUGUCUGAAUAUGGGGGGACCAUCCUCCAAGGCUAAAUACUCCUGACUGACCGAUAGUGAACCAGUACCGUGAGGGAAAGGCGAAAAGAACCCCGGCGAGGGGAGUGAAAAAGAACCUGAAACCGUGUACGUACAAGCAGUGGGAGCCUCUUAAUGGGGUGACUGCGUACCUUUUGUAUAAUGGGUCAGCGACUUAUAUUCUGUAGCAAGGUUAACCGAAUAGGGGAGCCGAAGGGAAACCGAGUCUUAACUGGGCGUUAAGUUGCAGGGUAUAGACCCGAAACCCGGUGAUCUAGCCAUGGGCAGGUUGAAGGUUGGGUAACACUAACUGGAGGACCGAACCGACUAAUGUUGAAAAAUUAGCGGAUGACUUGUGGCUGGGGGUGAAAGGCCAAUCAAACCGGGAGAUAGCUGGUUCUCCCCGAAAGCUAUUUAGGUAGCGCCUCGUGAAUUCAUCUCCGGGGGUAGAGCACUGUUUCGGCAAGGGGGUCAUCCCGACUUACCAACCCGAUGCAAACUGCGAAUACCGGAGAAUGUUAUCACGGGAGACACACGGCGGGUGCUAACGUCCGUCGUGAAGAGGGAAACAACCCAGACCGCCAGCUAAGGUCCCAAAGUCAUGGUUAAGUGGGAAACGAUGUGGGAAGGCCCAGACAGCCAGGAUGUUGGCUUAGAAGCAGCCAUCAUUUAAAGAAAGCGUAAUAGCUCACUGGUCGAGUCGGCCUGCGCGGAAGAUGUAACGGGGCUAAACCAUGCACCGAAGCUGCGGCAGCGACACUAUGUGUUGUUGGGUAGGGGAGCGUUCUGUAAGCCUGUGAAGGUGGCCUGUGAGGGUUGCUGGAGGUAUCAGAAGUGCGAAUGCUGACAUAAGUAACGAUAAAGCGGGUGAAAAGCCCGCUCGCCGGAAGACCAAGGGUUCCUGUCCAACGUUAAUCGGGGCA